rnacentral:rRNA from 1 species
AAUAGAUACCCUGGUAGUCCACGCCGUAAACGAUGAGUGCUAAGUGUUAGGGGGUUUCCGCCCCUUAGUGCUGCAGCUAACGCAUUAAGCACUCCGCCUGGGGAGUACGGUCGCAAGACUGAAACUCAAAGGAAUUGACGGGGGCCCGCACAAGCGGUGGAGCAUGUGGUUUAAUUCGAAGCAACGCGAAGAACCUUACCAGGUCUUGACAUCCCAUUGACCGCUAUGGAGACAUAGCUUUCCCUUCGGGGACAGUGGUGACAGGUGGUGCAUGGUUGUCGUCAGCUCGUGUCGUGAGAUGUUGGGUUAAGUCCCGCAACGAGCGCAACCCUUGUUCUUAGUUGCCAUCAUUUAGUUGGGCACUCUAAGGAGACUGCCGGUGACAAACCGGAGGAAGGUGGGGAUGACGUCAAAUCAUCAUGCCCCUUAUGACCUGGGCUACACACGUGCUACAAUGGACGGUACAAACGGUUGCCAACCCGCGGAGGGGGAGCUAAUCCGAUAAAACCGUUCUCAGUUCGGAUUGUAGGCUGCAACUCGCCUACA